CUUGAAGAACAUGUCUAGAAAAAGAUUGACAUUUCCAAUGCUACCCUCAUCUCAUUUCAAUCUUUCUUCUUCCACAACAUAAGCCACUCAAACUCCAUCGAGGACGGCGGGUAAUCGGCGGAAAAACCAUUGAAGCUGGAGAGGAUUUUCCGGCGCCGUGUGUGGGAACCAAGAAUUACCCAUCCCCAUCCAAUUGCAGAUCCAUAAUCAUUUUCCAGACAAGUUGCACCAGUAGGGGUCUGUUACCCUGGAUAAUGGUGGGUUGUCAAACGAAGCACUAGCGUUGAUGAUCUUUGACAUUAUUCGCGUGCAUCAACUACGGAUUAUAUGUUGUCUUCAAGCCCAUGGCAUGCUAGCAGAUGUUGAGCAAGGUGAGGACAGGAGGAGGGUUAGGCGUAAAUUUUCUCGUUUAGAGAGAAUCCCUGCCCAAGUUCAUCACCUCACACGACUGGUCGGUUUGAACGACAAGGAGUGCAUUGAUAAUCUUCGAAUGGAUCGUAAUUGCUUCGGGAGAUUAUGUUUAUUGCUGCGUGAACAGGCUGGCUUAGUCGAUGGGAAGUAUGUAUAUGUUGAAGAACAAAUUGCAAUGUUCUUAGGUGUGCUCGCUCAUCAUGAUAAAAAUCGAAGGGUGGGAUUUCAUUUCUGGAGAUCCGGGCAAACAAUAUCACACUAUGUUAAUGUCGUCCUCAAAGCCGUUAUUAUGUUACACGAAUUAUUUCUGGCAAAACCCCUUCCUGUGGAUGACCAAUGUCAGGAUUCAAGAUGGAAGUGGUUUCCGAUGAGAGUGUAAAAUUCAAAGGAUGCUUAGGUGCCCUAGAUGGGACCUGUAUCAAUGUGUUAGUUGGGAGCGACGAUAAACCACGCUACCGCAAUAGGAAGGGACAAAUUGCUACAAAUACAUUAGCUGUAUGCACUAGGGACAUGCGCUUUGUGUACGUGCUCGCCGGAUGGGAGGGAUCAGCCGGAGAUGCGAGGGUGUUACGUGACGCAGUCACACGUCCACAUGGGAUAAAAGUUCUGAAAGGGCAAUAUUAUCUAUGCGAUAACGGUUACGCCAACAGCGAAGGCUUUCUUACUCCUUACAAAGGUGUCCAUUACCAUCUUCAAUAAUGGGGCCCUGCUGCCAUGGUGCCUGAAAACCCGAAAGAAAUGUAUAACAUGCGCCACACCAAGGCGAGGAAUGUGAUAGAGCGCGCGUUUGCCGUUGUGAAGAUGAGAUGGGGAAUUUUGCGUAGUGCUUCGUUUUAUCCGAUCACUACACAAAUAAGGUUGAUCCUUUCAUGCUUUCUCUUGCAUAACUUCAUACGUGACCAAAUGACUGUCGAUCCAAUCGAGCAAGAGUUAGAUGUUGAGCACAUUCACCUUGGACUUGAAGAGGAGCAGCCAGAGCACAACGUUUAUGUAGACACGAUUGAGCCCACACCGGCUUGGAAUAAUAAACGCAACGAACUUGCUGAAACUAUGUGACUUAGUGCAGGUAAUGCUCAACAUGUUUAAGCUCAAGUUCAGGUGGAAGCCAUAUUUUCAUCGGAUGGCCCAUGUGCAAUGAAACACAUUUUUUAUGACUGCUUAGUUAUGUUAUAUUUUAGAUUGACCUACUUUAUUUUUUCUAUUGCUUUGUGUUGUCUUGGUGUUGUCUUCAGUGAAUAGAUGCUCUUGAUUAUGACCUAUGUGUUGAUUCAUUGAGUGUGGUGUAAGUCUGUUUCAACU